rnacentral:rRNA from 1 species
CCUACGGGUGGCAGCAGUGGGGAAUAUUGGACAAUGGGGGCAACCCUGAUCCAGCCAUGCCGCGUGUGUGAAGAAGGCCCUCGGGUUGUAAAGCACUUUCAGUGAGGAAGAACGCCUGGUGGUUAAUACCCAUCAGGAAAGACAUCACUCACAGAAGAAGCACCGGCUAACUCCGUGCCAGCAGCCGCGGUAAUACGGAGGGUGCGAGCGUUAAUCGGAAUUACUGGGCGUAAAGCGCGCGUAGGUGGCUUGAUAAGCCGGUUGUGAAAGCCCCGGGCUCAACCUGGGAACGGCAUCCGGAACUGUCAAGCUAGAGUUCAGGAGAGGAAGGUAGAAUUCCCGGUGUAGCGGUGAAAUGCGUAGAGAUCGGGAGGAAUACCAGUGGCGAAGGCGGCCUUCUGGACUGACACUGACACUGAGGUGCGAAAGCGUGGGUAGCAAACAGGAUUAGAUACCCUGGUAGUC